UGACGAAAUACUGUGGUUGAUGCGAUUGCCCUGCCCUGGCGAGGGAGGAUACGCUUUCAGCUUUAGGUGCGGGCCUAGUUCGCCUUCC
rnacentral:tRNA from 1 species